rnacentral:RNase_P_RNA from 1 species
GCUGCAAACCGGGCUAUCGCUCCAUCCAGCGCUUGUCGAAGGUGGGGAGGAAAGUCCGGACAGCGCAGAGCAGUGCACCGGUGAAGAGCCGGGCCCCGGUUUCCGGGGACAGAAAGUGCCACAGAAAAUAACUGUCCCGCCCAGGCGGGAUGAGGGUGAAAACGUGAGGUAAGAGCUCACGGCAGGUACUGGUAACAAUAUCUGCGGGUAAACCUUGCAUGCUGAAAUGCCACGUAUAGUAUCGUUUGAGGGCUGCUCGUCCAAGAUACAGGGUAGGCAGAUGGAUCCCGGAUGGCAACUUCCGGGACAGAUAAAUGAUAGCGCCCGGGGUGCCUGGCACCACGAAUCACAGAAUCCGGCUUACAGGUUUGCAGUAAAU